ACUUCAUUAAACAAUGAAGUAUGCUCUGAUAAUGGCUAACGUGAGCAUGAAAAUGAUAUUCUAAGAUAAAAACGCGGCUUACUUAAAAUUUAAAAUACUAUACUAUAAAGCUAUUGGUUGCAUAUUUCUAAAGAGUAUUUCAAGACCAAAAUAUUUGCUCUAUGGAAUUUGCUGUGCAUAGCGGCAAAUUGUUGGUGUGGAUUGUGGAGCAAAACUGCUUCGAGGUUUGGAUGUAUAAAGCAAAAACAGUAAUGGCCCUAAAUAGAAACUUGUGGCACUCCACACUUAAUUUUUUUGAAGAUGAAAAUCUUCAAAACGCCUAAUUUAUUAGGCGUUCGGUCUGUGUUCAAAAUGAAUUGGUUGUCAAUAUUCAAAUAAGUGAGCUCAAAAUUUGAUGAAACUAUUGUCAAACUGA